rnacentral:rRNA from 1 species
GGUGAAAGGCUUGCUGCCUGAAGAUGAGCUCGCGUCUGAUUAGCUAGUAGGUGGGGUAAGAGCCUACCUAGGCGACGAUCAGUAGCUGGUCUGAGAGGACGAUCAGCCACACUGGGACUGAGACA